AGAGCAUAUAUUAAAGUUGUUGCAGUUAAAAAGCUCGUAGUUGGAUUUCUGGUUUAAUGCACCUGGCCCGCGGCCUCUAGGCUUGUGAGUGCCGGCGCGCGUUUACCAUCCUUCUAGAAAACGAUUCUGCCAUUCACUUGGUUGGGAUCGCGAUCUAGAUCAUUUACUUUGAAAAAAUUAGAGUGUUUAAAGCAGGCUUUUGCUAUGAAUACAUUAGCAUGGAAUAAUAAUCUAGGACUUCGGUUCUAUUUUGUUGGUUUCUAUAACUGAAGUAAUGAUUGAUAGGGAUAGUUGGGGGUGCUAGUAUUGGCCGGCCAGAGGUGAAAUUCUUGGAUUCGGUCAAGACUAACUUAUG
rnacentral:rRNA from 1 species